GGAUGUCCCCAGGCGCCGGAAAAGUAGUGGCCCCGGACGGGCCCGAGAGAAUCUCUCGCCCUUCCUCUCCACGUGGCGCUAAACUAUUGGUGGUAAAUUUUAGGUGUGGCAUAUAUUAUUUUUUGCCCCCUCAUCCCUGAGCAUUUCGGGUGUUACCCCUUUUGCAUAAUACCCCUGAUCCCUCCUUUUUAUUGCAAUUAUACCAUCAAACUGAUCUAACCGUCUAUUUUGAGUGGAUGCGAAUCGUGACGCGGA
rnacentral:lncRNA from 1 species